rnacentral:rRNA from 1 species
AUUGAACGCUGGCGGCAGGCCUAACACAUGCAAGUCGAGCGAGCGGCGGACGGGUGAGUAAUGUCUGGGAAACUGCCUGAUGGAGGCGGAUAACUACUGGAAACGGUAGCUAAUACCGCAUACCAUCAGAUGUGCCCAGAGGGGAUUAGCUAGUAGGUGGGGUAACGGCUCACCUAGGCGACGAUCCCUAGCUGGUCUGAGAGGAUGACCAGCCACACUGGGACUGAGAAACGGUCCAGAAGCCUACGGGAGGCAGCAGUGGGGAAUAUUGCACAAUGGGCGCAAGCCGGAUGCAGCCAUGCCGCGUGUAUGAAGAAGGCCUUAGGGUUGUAAAGUACUUUCAGCGGGGAGGCGUUACCCGCAGAAGAAGCACCGGCUAACUCCGUGCCAGCAGCCGCGGUAAUAC